AAGUUAUUAACUUGCUUGACUAGGUCUUAUAAAGUUCUGGAUAAAGCUUAUUAUGAAAACUUUAUAUCCAUAGGUCUCGACCAAAUCUUGUGCCAGCAGUCGCGGUAAGACAAGGGAGACGAGUGUUAUUCAUCUUUAACAGGUAUAUAGGGUACCUAGACGGUGUGCAAUGGCUUAAAUAAGUACCUGGUACACUUGAGUUUGAUAUGUGAGAGGAAUAUGUCGGAAUUGUUGGAGGAAAGAUGAAAUUUGUUAAUACCAAUAGGACUGAUAACGGCGAAGGCAAACCUCUAUGUACAUGUACUUGCUAUUUCUGUUUUUAUUAUAGCAAAAUAGCAAUGUACUAUAACUGACGUUGAGGGACGAAGGCUCAGAGAGUGAAGAGGAUUAGAUACCCCCGUAACCUGGGCAGACAAUGAUGAGUGCCAUAGGUUGGCUUUAAGGCGGAACUAUAAAUGAAAGUGGAAGCACUCCACCUCAAGAGUAAUGU
rnacentral:rRNA from 1 species